CUUUUUGGGAGUAUUUGAAUAAAAUUUUGCAUUUAAAAAAAAAUACAUUUGAAAUGGAUCUGGUUUUACUCUCUUUUUUUCCAUACUUUCUCUAAUUUAUGCAUUGAUUUUUAUUAAACAAUAGUAUAUAAGACUUUCAAUUACAAGGUCUUGAAGUACAGUUCACCUAUCCCCUAAGACAGGGAUAGGUGAGCCAUAUUUUUCCAAGUGAUGCAAAUAUUUAUAGCAGAAUGGAUAUCAAUAUUUUUUUCCCAUCCAAUAAAUGACAUUAUUUUUCAAUCUGUAAAUUAUUUAGUGGGAAGAUUUUACAGGCAAAAAGUAGGUGUGUCUAUUUGCAGCCCCUUAGCAGGGACAUUAGCUGAAAUUCUGCUUAGAGAAAUUGAAAAGAAUGUAAUAAAAGUAUUAGAACCAGCUAUAGCAGAAUAUAUAAGGUACAUUGAUGAUAUCCUAGUUGUAGUGAAUUAUUGUUGUUGAGCAGUUUCUUGGUGACUAUUGCUUGGAAGUUGUUGUGCCAUUGGGCUUACUGAGUUGGAGUCACUUUUUCUUUGUGUAGGAAAAUCAGGUUGUUUUGUACCAGUGUGCGAAAUUUGAAUAAAAUAUUGUUUUAGUAUUGAUAUAAAGUGUUCCAGAGUGAAUUACA
rnacentral:lncRNA from 1 species